GAAAAAGGCACAACUGAAAUUCCAGACCAAUUUGAGAAUGAUGCAUACGACCAACAGAUCACGCCCGAUGCACCUAAUUACACGGAAAACAAAGAAAAUGAACCGUUGCAAGAAAAAAGAUAGUGAAUUAAAGAUGUU